CGAGGGCCGCCGUCUUCAAGGGCGGGGAGCCACACUGACACGACCCGAAUCCGGACGAUCUACGCAUGGACAAGGCGAAGCGUGCCGAAAGGCACGUGGAGGCCUGUUAGAGUUGGUGUCCUACAAUACCCUCUCGUGAUCUAUGUGUAGGGGUGAAAGGCCCAUCGAGUCCGGCAACAGCUGGUUCCAAUCGAAACAUGUCGAAGCAUGACCUCCGCCGAGGUAGUUCGUGGGGUAGAGCGACCGAUUGGUGUGACCGCCUCCGAGAGGAGUCGGCACACCUGUCAAACUCCAAACCUACGAACGCUGUUUGACGCGGGGAUUCCGGUGUGCGGGGUAAGCCUGUGCACCAGGAGGGGAACAACCCAGAGAUAGGUUAAGGUCCCCAAGUGUGGAUUAAGUGUAAUCCUCUGAAGGUGGUCUCGAGCCCUAGACAGCCGGGAGGUGAGCUUAGAAGCAGCUACCCUCUAAGAAAAGCGUAACAGCUUACCGGCCGAGGUUUGAGGCGCCCAAAAUGAUCGGGACUCAAAUCCACCACCGAGACCUAUCCG
rnacentral:rRNA from 1 species